CUGAAAUACAUCAUUUUAAUUAAAGGCGUAAUUACGCUUUAGUAAAUAAAAUCUCUUCAUCGAUAAACACCAUUUCAGCAUAAUAAAUAAUAACCAACGGUUUUAUGGCACGGAAAUUCCAACUCCCGGAUAUUUUUUUCUUUCUUUCUUUCUACAUUUGGCACCGGCCCUUCGAGUAUCGGUGCGACGGACCCGGUUUCUUUUUUUCCCGCGCUCUCUCCACUAGACCCAUUAUCCGAAGUAACCUUCAAUCCCCAGCCAAGGUUAAUUAUCGAUGUGUUAUUUUAGAUGCACCAUCCCAACGAUUUUUAAACGGGCCGCCUUAAUUCCUUUAUUAUAUCUUAAAUAAUUG
rnacentral:lncRNA from 1 species